rnacentral:lncRNA from 1 species
UUUCUUAUUUUGUGUGAUCAUGAUUAAAUUAUAUUAGUAAUUUAUAUUAUAUUUUUAUAAAGAUAAUAAGAUAAAAAAUAAUAAAAAUAUAAAAUAUUGAUGUGCCGUGAUUGUACAAAUAAGAGGAGAUUAGAAGGUAUCCAAACAAGAAGGCAGACAAUCUGCCUCCCUCUAUAUAACCACCUUCUACCCUUUGCAGUGUCUGUCAAAGCAGUCGGAUACUUCUUGUAUAACCACUCUCGACCCUUUGUAGUUUUCUUUCUCUGAUCAAACUUGAUAGGUAUGGGUGCAGCAACCUGCAUUGACAUCAUCCUCGCCAUACUCUUACCACCUCUUGGUGUCUUCCUUAGGUUUGGCUGUCAUGUAAGUUUUUCUCUUUCGCGUCCGUUAUUUUAUAGAUGUUGUACGUCAUACAAACACAUAUUACAUACUAAAAUUGUUUGACUGUGGAUAGCCCAUCAUACAAACACGUCUCGCAUAGUAACACUGCUUGAAUCAUCAUAGUUGUGGAAUUCAUAGAUGUAAUGUUCAUCGAUGCCCUAAUAUGUGUAUGGUCUGUGUUUAUGUGUGUCUUGAAACAGAAUUUUCAUGCAGUUAUUUUUAUGAGGAAUUUUGAUGUUUACAUGUGGUGGUUUUGAUGAUUUGCAGUCGGAGUUUUGGAUCUGUUUGCUGCUGACUGUGCUUGGUUACAUCCCUGGUAUUUUAUAUGCCCUCUAUAUCAUCACCAAGUGAUCCUUUCAAUUUGUGUAAUGUAAGCACCAACUUCUCUAUCAAUCAAUAUUUCUUGUUUUAAUUUUAUUUAUUUAUUUAUUUAUUAUUAUUAUUAUAGUGAAGGUGUGAUAUUAAUUGAUGAUCGAAUGAAUACGUAAAAAGAGGGUAAAGUGCUUUAAAAUGGGGCCUUGAAAUUUUUGUUUUUUCAUCGGGCUUGUUUUGAUUUGGAUAUUUCAUUCAUCCGAAUAUCUUAAUCUUUUGAGAAAAUUAGAGCAGACUUUGGCUCAAUUAGAGCUUUGGUAUUUGAAGUAAAAAUCUGCAAGUUUAGGUUCCUGAAUUUCUUAUAAUGUGGAGCAAUGGUUUUUUUUUUCUAACUCUAUUAGAACUUUUAUCCAAAAUAAAGGGUUUAAAGACGCAAAAAAUGUGUGGAGGUUCUAACGGAUUUAGCCAAUAUGACUGUUGCUCCACAUUAUUACAAAUUCAGAUUUUAACACCAACGAAUUUUUAGUUUAUGAAUCAAAGUUCUAGUUAAGUUAAAAUUAAGAGAUUAUUACUCUAAUUAUCUCUAAUAUUUUUAAAGGAAUAAAACUUCGUCAUUAAGCAAAUAUGCCUUUCCUUGGUUUAUCAACCCUACUAUCAUAUAGUUCGACAGAGAAAAUGAUUUGGGUCUAAUUGAAAAUGACCUGCACUAAUUUAUAUAUCGCCAUCCACCAAUACUUACGUGGUAUAUCUAUGCUUUAACAAAGCAGGAUUGGUGACUCGUAUUGCAUUCUGAUCCUUUUAAUGUUUUUUAUUGGACAGGUAGUUAAAGGGUGUGUGUGAAGGGCAGCUAUGUCUUUUUGUUUAUGUAUCAAGGGUUUGUUUUCAACCGUUUAAUGGAUUGGUCUUAAUCUGGUGUAGCCAAAUGGAUGGUUGAUCUCAUUCAUGUAGCGUGUAUUUAGUGCAAACGUUCAUUGUUUUUUCCUUUUAUUUUGAUUUGAAUAAAAGACUCAGAUUUGACUAUUCCCAGCACUUACUCAACGCAUUUGUUCUAAGUAAAUUAAAAAAUAUAUAUAUUUGUCAAAAAAAAAAUAUUUAUAUAAAAAAUUAAAUAAAAAAUAUUUUUACCAAAAAAAUUAUAAAAAAAAACUUUGCGUGAUGCAGUUUCUGUUGUCGCGCAGAGUCCUUUUGAGGACUCAGGUGUUGUCAUCAUCGCGCAAAGGCCUUGUGUGCAACGUAUGUUAUCCCUUUGUCGCGCAAACCUUGUUUUCACGGAUUUUGCGCGACAGUUUGCAUGUAAUGAAGAUGUCGACUAAUUUUUAAGCAACGUUUUUUGACUUUGCGCGACGAAGGUACCUGUGUCGCAUAAACUAUUUUUUGUACUGGUAACGUCAUCCCUCACAUCUUCCGCCUAAUCCUUGCCAUCCCAUCCCUCGAGCGACGGUGUUGACUACGUUUUGUGAGUGGGUGGUCUUGAGGUUUUCUCGGUGGAGGACGACAGUCUCGUCGUGGGACUAGCAGAGAGGAAGGAGGCGGUGAGAUGAAGGUGGGGUUGGGUUCGGAUGGGUUUACUGGGAUUGGGUUAGCCUGGGUUGUCGGGUUUGUGGUGGAGGAGGAGGCUACAAGAGAGAGGGAGGGUUGAAGAGAGGAAGGCUACGGGAGAGAAAGGGUAGAUAGUGAAAUUAAUGAAAAAAAAAGAGGUAUUGUUGUCCAAAAAGUUAUAAUUUUGUGUUCCAUGAGCUAGAACAAGUCGUUGGGAGGGUGGCACAAAAAUUUGACUAAAAGCCUUUCCAUGGGACCGUGCAUCCCAGACAAAUUGGCGCACGGUGGGACGAGUGUAUCUCAUCCUACUGCGUUCCGUCUCAUCUCACGUACUAAACGGCACUUUAAUGCUCUAAAUUAAUGUAUUGAAACGCAUCGGUAACUAUAAACUCGUUUUUGUGUGAGUCUCUAGUUUGGAUCAUAACGGGCGAUGACAUGAGUUUGAGAGUUGCAAAAUAUCAAACAAUAGUUACAAUACCAUAGCAGAGCUUGUCAUGGGUUUCUCAUUUUAUCCUUUCAUAAAAUACUAUACUUUUCCAAACUAUAAACGCAUCCGUAAUUCGAAUGUGAAAAUUCAAAGAAUUCCUUAAUUAAAAAAAUUAAGAAACUUUGCAAUGACAUAAUUAUUCGGAUCAAUCUUGCUGUUGCAAAGGCAUUUUAGAACUAAAUUUCAAUUCUUUCAACGGUAUAAAUAAGUAGAGAUUGACAACUUGGAUAAUAAGAGAAGAGAAUUGCAUAAUUAUGAAUAGAAAUGCUUAGGAGACUCUCUUAAAGAUGAAAUUUUUCAUAGACUUUGUGACAGCUUAUGUUUUUUUAAUACAAUAUUUUUAAUGUUAACAUGAAAAUUAACAUUAAACUAUGAGAUGAUAUAAAAUUCAAAAAAAAAUCCCACUUUCAAUAGUUUUCCAUUGCAUUUCUCUAAAAGUCAGAACUAUCUAUCUUUAGAUUGAAGGAACCUCUCAAAAAGAUAUUUUACCAUGCAUCGUGGAGGGUCCUUAUCAAGAACAAAGUUAAAAAACAUGUCGGCACGCUCAAAUUACGCAAGGCACAAGAAGCACAUUGGAAACUAACACGUGUCACGAUUAGUGGCGAAGCUACGUGGGCGAGGAGUGGCGGCCGCCCCUCCCUCGCUGGAAAUCAAGCCUAGGAACGGUGGUUUCGUCCCUCCGGUCUUGUCGAAAGUGAUGAAAUUUCAUGUGAUUUUUCAGGCCUUUUGGGUUUCCCUGCUCUAUGGCAGCACAUGAUGAUCGUGAGCUCUCUUUUUUUUUCCAAAAAAGAAAAUACAUUUAGGCCAAAGAAAGGAGGAAUGAAAAGCUGUAGUUUGCAGCUUCUAGAAAUAGAGAGGUUCUGGACGAAAAAGAAGAGAAAGGAAGAAGAGAGAGACUUUCUCUCUCCCAUCCCACCCCACGUGCCCUUUCAUAAUUACAAUUUGUUUUUUUUUUAACUAUUGACCAAAUUUGUUUUGUUUUUUAAUUAUUAUCCAAUUAAUUUUAAGAAAAAACUAAUGAAAAGAGCUUGAAAACUUUGAGUUUUAAUGAUAAAGACAAAAUAAAGGGUAAAGUGAAUAGUACCAGAAUUGACUUUUUAGUGUAAAAAUAUGGUUUUUCGUUAAAGUAAACAGUACCGGGUGUUUUUUGUUAAAGUUCCCUUAAUUUUAUCACUCUUCCAAUAUUUUUUAAAUCACUUCUUUGACAUUGUUAUUUAUCUUAAAAUUCACUAUAAAUUUAUACCAGCUUCAAAAAAUAAUUUGUAAAAUACUACGAACUCGUAGUUAUUUGUUUUUUUUUUCUCUUACCAUCAAAUUCAACAAAGUAAUAAAGAAAAUUUGUCAAGAUUUUUAUAUUAUAUGUUUUAUAAUCAAUGUUUUUCGAAUAUUAUAUGGUAUAUAAUAAAUAGACAAUUAUUUAUACUGUAUAUAAUAACUUUAUUCAAAUUUGUCUAGGUCCUUGCCUAAGUGUAAAGUCAUGUCCACCGUACGACUAGAAUUGAGCAUCUUUUAAAACUUUGUUAAUUAUAUAGUUAAGUAAUAGGACGAUACAACAAGAAACAGUGCUAAAUCAUCCUUCAAAUAAUAUUGUUUUUCAAACCCUCCUUCGACUAUUUUGAGUAGUCCAAGUCCUCUUUUGAAUAUUUCGGUUAGUGCAAAUUCUCCUAUGAAUAUUACGGGUAAUUCAAAUAAUCUUCUUGGAAAUCCUGGACUUAGACCUUGAAUGAAUGUUCACAUUUUUUCAGGACUCUAAACUUUUUAAAUUUCGUCCCUUCUCAUAAGAAUUUCUAGCUUCGCCAGUGGUCACAAUCACCAAUUUAUGGGGCCACGGGUCAGCUGUCUCCAAAUGUAUGUCUCAUUUGUGUUUCCUCUCUAUCUUUUUGACAUGUGUACAACUCCUUAACUUAAAAUUAACAUUGUUAACUUUUAUCAAAUUAAAAAAAAAACAAUAAAAAGAGAUAACAAAGGACCUAGCAGAUGUCGAAGUCCACGCAAGAUAACUCCCGCGCAGCCGUCACCGGCGGUAACCCCACUCGGGCCACUCCUACUCAUUGCCGCCAAAGCCUCCCCUCGAAUCCUCCCUCUCUCUCUCUCUCUCUUGCUCCAGGAUUCAGAUAUCCAUCUUCCCCAUUCAAUAUCCACAACCAAAUCAAACUUCUGUACGCAUAUUUUUCUAGGUCGAAUCUAUUGAUAAUUUGUCAUAAGAAUAAUAUCUCAGAUUGGGGAAGAAUCUGGGUUUUGUUGAAAAUCCCAAUAGAAUAUCUUCUGUGAAAAUUUUAAAAAAUCUUGAAAAUAAUUAAAGAAAUUGGGGAUGGUAGGCUAUAAUGGUUAUAUAUGAAAGUGAACCCACCGAGUGGGGAAAGGAAACUCCAAAAAUAAAAAUAAUAAUCAGUGGAGUGGGUUCACCGGAGAGAGAAAGAGUAAAAGAGUCUUCGCCGGCAGUGAGGGGAAGCGUCGCCGACGACUAUGGGGUGGUGUGGUUCUGUGUGUGACCAUCGGGCUAAGUUUGGCUGCUGUUGGCUUUUGGUUUUCUUUAAUUAUCAGUUUUUAUUUUUUAUUUUUAAUUCUUCUUUUAAAAGGUUAACACUGUUAAGUUUAGGGUUAAGUUGAUGACAGAUGUCAAAAAUUAAAAAAUGAGACACAUAAAUAUGGAGACAGCACAACUGUGGCCCAUUUAUGGAAAGGCAUAAUCCGUUUUCUAAUAAAAUUGUUUACGUGUACCCAGUGGUUAGCCUCCACGUGGCUCCUUCAGCAGCAGAAGUUGCAGCUCUAUAUAACCACCCUCUACUCCUUGCAGUUUCUGUCAAAGCAGUCCGAUACUUCUUGUUGUUUAACCACUCUCUACCCUUUGUUGUUUUCUUUCUCUGAUCAAACUUGAUAAGUAUGGGUACAGCAACCUGCAUCGACAUCAUCAUCGCCAUCCUCUUGCCACCUCUUGGUGUCUUCCUCAGGUUUGGCUGUCAUGUAAGUUUUUCUCUUUCGCGUCCGUUAUUUUAUAUAUGUUGUCUGUCAUACAAACACGUAUUACAUACUAAAAUUGCUUGACUGUGGAAAGUCCAUCAUACGAACACGUCUCACAUACUAACACUGCUUGAAUAAUCAUAGUAGUGGAAUUCAUAGAUGUAAAGUUCAUCGUUUCCCUAAUUUGUGUAUGGUCUGUGUUUUUGUGUCUUGAAACAGAAUUUUCGUGCAGUUGUUUUUAUGAGGAAUUUUGAUGUUUAUAUGUGGUGGUUUUGAUGAUUUGCAGUCGGAAUUUUGGAUCUGUUUGGUGCUGACUCUGUUCGGUUACCUCCCUGGUAUUAUAUAUGCCAUCUAUGCCAUCACCAAGUGAUCCUUUCAAUUUGUGUAAGCACCAACUUCUCUAAAUCAAUAUUCAUUGAUCAUCGAAGGAAUAAAAUUAGAAGAUUAUUGCUCUAUAAUUAUCUCUAAUAUUUUUAUGAAGGAAUAAAACUUCCUCAUUAAGCAAAUAUACCUUUCUUUGGUUUAUCAACCCGGACUGGGAUCACCUCCGGAUCCCAACCUUCAGAGCAAAUUGAGCAAAACAUCCCAUCCUCCAAUUUUUUAUCUUGUGGUCAGAAAUAAAUUUAAAUAUUGAAAAAUUAUCACGCAAAACAAGGUAAGAUGAAAAUAGAAGGAUGAUUUGUUUUGCUCAUGUCGCUCCGAAGGCUGGGAUCCGGAGAUGAUCCCAAUCCUCCUAUCAACCCUACUAUGAUUUGGGUCUACUUGAAAAUGACCUGCACUAAUUUAUAUGUUGUCAUCCACCAAUAAUUAUGUGGUAUAUGCUUUAACAAAGAAGGAUUAGCGACUCGUACUACAUUCUGAUCCUUUUAAUGUUUUUUAUUGGACAGGUAGGUAAAGGAUGUGUGUGGAGGGCGUCUACGUCUUUUUGUUUAUGUAUCAAGGGUUUGUUUUCAACCGUUUGAUGGAUUGGUCUUAUCUGGUGUAGCCAAAUGGAUGGUUGAUCUCAUUCAUGUAGCGUGUAUUUGGUGCAAUUGUUCCUUGUUUUUUACUCUCAUUUUGAUUUGAAUAAAAUGACUCAGAUUUGUCCCAGCACUUACUCAACGCUUUUGUUCAAAGUAAAUUGCAAGCAUCAUCGACCACCUCGAGGUGGGUUAGUGAUUGAAGACAAAUUUUAGAUCCGUAUUCUACAUGACAUGUUAUAAGUGUUUUGGCGCGUGUAAAUUAUACAUGGUGGUUAAGAAAGAAAUUGAAAUACAUAUGUAAUUCUUCUCGGCCUCCAAAAUAGUAGAUUGUGGGUGCGAAGACAUUGACUGGUCCCUUUCCUUAAGCAUGAAAUUUUUUGCAAGCAUCAUCAAAUUUUUUUGGCAAACAGCAUCAUCAAAUUUGUUGUAAAUCAUAAGCAUUACAAAGCCAAUGCUUGUUGUAAACUUAAGACAUCAAAAGGUUCCCUUCAAUAGGACUGAUCACAUUCUUCCUACCGAGUACGAAACACCACAAUUUGGCUUCAGCUUUUAAUCAAGGAAAAUUAUUUUGUUUUUCCCUUUUCUCGAUUUUUUAGAAUUGAAUAAAUCAAAGAAAUAUCAAAUAAUAAAAACAAAGAGAAGAGCUUUGAAAGAGGGAUGAAGAGUGUAAACAUCUCAACCCUUAAUCGACCACCAUUUUCGAAAUCUUAUUGAGAUAUUUUGCAUCUUGAUUUUGAUACUUAAUACCUCAUUCUAAUUGUAAACACACAAUAUCAAAUUGUCAAUUCCCAAAUUUCAUAAGAAUAUUGUCCAACUAGCUAGUCACAAAGAGUGAAGAAUAAUAUUGUCCAACUAAUCACAAAAAAUGAAGAAUAAUAUUGUUCAAUUAAGGAAUAAACAAUCUAAUAAGAUCUUCUUAAUGUCCCAAAGGGCAACCCUACUCUUUUCUUUGUGAUGCUUUCCUUUAAUUAAAAAACAAUUGGAUAACUAAUCGAAUGUGACAAUAGUAUUUUCUCUUAUUUUAUGGAAAAAGAGAAUAAUAAUGUUCUAACUUCAUACUUAAGCAAACAAGAUAUCACACCGUCUUAAUCAACUAGUCUAAUCAACAUCUGUUUUAUUUUUGUUUUCAAACUGAGGCAGGUUUCUACUUCAAGCCCAUUACUCCAUUAAUAAGCUCCCACGUGUCCCAUGUGAGAAGAAGAAGGUCUAAUCUUCUCCACGAAGAUUAUAGAUGGGACUUUAGGUUAUAAAAUGCAGAUGACGGUUUCAUCACGUGCAUAGUGUAGGCGAUUCAGAUAAGACCCCAUUGGUCGCUACAUACUUGAAGCCUCCAUCACCGCCGUAGUUCCGGAGUGCCGCGGCUACCUACGAGCCGUUAGAUUUUCCUGACAGCCUGGAGGCUGGUCGUUACUCGAGUUCAUCCCAAUGCUCGUGGGUGGCAAACAUUGCAACAUUUAAUGUGUUGUAAUGAUAAAAGAAACGAAAGAAAGGAUCUUUUAAGUAAGGAAAAGAAAAAAAUGGAGUAGAGAUGCAUGAUCACGUUAUUUUGUUAUAGAACGUCUCUUAUAAAAGCACGAGAAAAUAAUUAGUGUCAUGUAAAAAAUUAAACUCAAGUUAUUGGAUGCUCGUGCAACAGAUUAAAUUAGACUAGAAACAAAUUAGAAUUAUGCAACAAUUCCUAAUUAGUCAUCCCCUACCGAAUAGUUUAAAUUUAGGUACCAAUGAAAAAAUCAACCAAAUAAUUAUAUAAAUACUACUAUAAAUCAGAAUAAUUACAUGAUUGGCACUCAAUCUUACCACGUUUUUCGACCGGCCAACUUUUUUUUACGACCGGUUGAUCAAAUUUUCCAGCGUCUGGCCGAUCAAAAAUUUCAGUCUCAAUGUCAUUGUCCAACCGUGAACUUCACAAAAACAUGUUAAGUAAUGAAUUUUCUCAUAAACUUUCUAAUUAUUGUAUGUAUAUAUGAAGAAAAAUAAUAAACUCACACAACAAAAUAUAACUGAAGAUGAAAAAGUUGCACAAAUUGUUUUUUUUAAGUCAUUGUUGAACAGUGACUUGGAAGUUUUUUACGACCAGAAAAAAAAUGUCGGCCACAAUGACUCUGGCCAUCGACAAUUUCUGGUAGUAACAUCGGCAACAUGUGGGUCAUGUGCAAUGAAUAAAAAUAUAUAAAUGUUCAUAUGCUUAUAAGUGUAUUUGCUUGUAACAUGUCAACGAAUACAUCAAUUUUUUUUUGUUGAACAAAUACGUCAUUUAAUGAACAAAAUUUGACGAAUCCAAGCCUAUGGAAACUUGAAACACAAUAAGUUCGACCGAAAAAAAAAAGCACACUAUAUGGGUUAUAAAACUUUGUAUGCAUGGGACUGAUGUGAGAACCGCACGAGCCACGUUUUCAUGAAUCUGAAUUUCUACAUCAAAACUUAGCUGUAUGAUUCUUGCUUCUUUAUUCGGAUAUGGAUUCUGCAGCAUGCCAUAUACCACGCUGUAUGAUUCCGAUAGAACACCCAAGGGCCCCAACCCAAAAGUAAGAUCUACUCGUCCUCCGCAUAAAGAGACUUUCAGUAGCUGAAACACGAUCCGAUGAAUCAAGUAUUAUAAUAUAAGUAAUUAAAUACUUGUAAAAAUUUUAAUCAUGUAUAUUAUAAUAUUUAAUGUACUAUACUAUGUUCCCAACACAUUGAAAAAUCCUCUACGGACUUCACGGAGUUAAGGAACCGCGUAGUACAUUGUAUUGCUCUGUCUCCACCGAAUGCAUACCCUCUCCACGUGUCCCAUCAGCCCGCGGAGGAGCUGUAUAUAUAAACCACUCACCGUUUCUGUGACACCACCGCUCACAUAUCCACCAGUUGCCCUACUUCCUCUUCUUCUAAAACUCUCUCAGCUUUCCGGCAAAAAAAUUCUCAGCAAGUAUGCCGAGCGAAGGAACCCUAAACUUCGUCGACAUCCUCAUCGCCAUCCUCUUGCCUCCUCUUGGUGUCUUCCUCAAGUUUGGCUGCCAUGUUAGUACUCUUUCUUCCGAGUCGUUUAGUUUAUAGAGAUUAUACGUCACACGAACGCACAUGGUACCACUGUUUGAAUCGUUAGACCAGUAGAAAUUUACGGAUGUGAUGGUCCAGACAGUGUUCGUAUAGCGUAUUUUCUCUAAUUAAUCUGUAAAUAUAAUAUAAUUAUGAUGUAUGUGUUUUCAUGGGUAUAAUAUAUGGUGGAUUUGAUGUAUUUUCAGGUGG